CAUUCAGCAAGGGAGUGUGGCAUUAGCAUUACGCAGGGUGUAGGAAGCAAGGCCCUUGGGCCUUAGGGCGCUGAAGCCCAACGCGCAAAGGGUAAGGCUGAGGGAUAGUAGAAUUAUUCACCUCAUUUUAUCCCAAAGUUUCACAUUCGGCUCUCUCUCUUAAGGUCUCCUCGCCAGAAAAAUGCCCCACCGCGCCGGAAAUCGCCUCUGACGGCGUCGGAGGUCCAACUGGCCUCAAAUGCACACCAACCAACUCGUCUCAACUCCUUCUCUCCCAAUCUCGUACUGAUUCAAGCCAAAACUCAACUAAAUCCUUAUAAUCAAGCUAAACACUCAAGAACUCCAACCAAAUAAAUGAAAAUUAAAUCGAAACAGACGUUUGAAUGAAGCUCAAACCUUAGGGGUUUGGCUCUUCUAUGGAAAGUCUACAUUGUAGUACCAAAGAUCAAGCCAGAAGAAUAGGAAUUGAGGAAUCACCAACCUACAAGGCGGAGGUGGCUUUGGAACUUGUUGAAUGCGAGACUGAGGAAGAAGACGAAGAAGAAUAGAGAAGCUUCAAAUAAGGGUUAAUGUGCAUUAGGUGGAAUGGCUAAUCUAUGAUAUGUUCAUAGUAUGUCAUCAAGAGGAAUUUUGUGAAAUACACCAAGACCAUGAAAUUGAAGACUUGGGAGGCUUGGAAAAAAAUGAAGAUGGGAUGGCAUGUAAAUGAAGAAAAAAAUGGAGAUUAGGGUUUAGGAUUAGUAGUUGACUUUGGUCAACUGUUUGACCAAAAAGUCAAUAGUUGACCAAAAGUCAACUAUAGGUCAAGGUGUGUGAUUUUGUUUAUAACUUCAUGAUUCAGACUUUUUAAUAUGGUUUGAAUGCUUGUAAUAAAGAAAUUACUUCUUUUUGAAUGAAUUGUGUCUUGAAUGUCAA